UGGGCUGUAGCUCAGUGGCAGAGCACUUACCUAGCAUGCGUGAGGCACUGGGUUCAAUCCUCAGCACCACAU
rfam:Ictidomys tridecemlineatus contig092739, whole genome shotgun sequence.